rnacentral:misc_RNA from 1 species
UUUAUGUUUAGUAUUUAAGUGUUUUUGUUUAAUUUUAAGGGUAUUGAUUAGUUUGGGCAUGUGGCUUACUAUGGUUUGCAGUUUUUGUGUAAUUAGGAUUUUUUUUUUAUGCUUUGAGCUAAUAGGUAUUUGUUAUUUUGUCUAGUUCUUUUGUGAUAAGGUUCUAUAGCUAUUAUUAUAAUUGGGUUUUCUGCAUUUUGUAUUGUGAUUGGUGGUGCUGGUGUUUUCAAUUCAGGGGCGUGUAUAUUAUGUUAUAUUGUGUUAUUACUUGCGAUCCCAAUGUAAUUUUCGCUCCUUGCUAAGUUAGCUUGGCCUUUUCUUAUUCUUUUGAGGUUAUGCGCAUGCAGUUUUUUGCCUUUUCACUCUUUGAUGAGGUAUUUCUAUUUUUUUGGUAAUGGCUAAGUGUCUUGUUUGCCUUUUAUGUUGUUGGGCUAUCUAUUGUUUUGAUGAGAUUCGUUUCUGAUUGUUCUAGGAAUAGGUUGAUCUAAUUGUCUGAGACUUAGGAGAGCCUUAAUUGAAAAUUUUGGAGAUUUGGUUCUAGUUCUAUUUUAUUGAAAAGUUUGUCUGUUGUUGAAUCCUAUCGAGAGGAAAUAACAUUUGAAAGGUUUGACUAAUUUAGAUUUUUGGGUGUUUCCAUUUUUUCAGUAAUUGUAUGCAUUAAGUUACAAGGUGAAUGCAAGUUGUGCCUACCCCCUUUCUUCUGAAUAUGAUAGUAUUUCAAAUUUUCACUGUUGAUGACUAGCUACAAACAAUUAAGAUACAAGAGGCAGAUUAUACCAUGCAUGAAGCAGACUUUGACUUUUUAGAUCCAUCAAGUUGACUAUUUACUUGCUGAUUUAGUUUAAGGUGGUUGUUGCAACUUGCAGCAUUAACUUACCUCUGCAAGUGGUCAUGCUUUUGUUGGAAGUAAAUUGAAAUCUCAAGUAGGUCGAUUCCUUCUAUUUGUUCAAUAAAAUUCUUGCCUCUCCCUCUCUCUUUGUGGGAAAUGUAUGCAUGUCUGCUUACAGACAUGCAUGUUCAUAUAUUGUCAUUUUAGGGUAGCUUUACAUUGUAAA